AUGAGCUGUGUUACCUUGUCAGGAAUGCUGAAUGUAGGGACAGCUGUUUUUAGUGAUGAAUGCAGGGAGUAGUGCUUUUUAAGUACAGCUUGCCUGAUCCUCAGCUGGUGAAAAUCAGUGUAGCUCUGUUCCAAGCCCUCCCCGUCUUAGAGUCCUGCUGUGCCUAAGGGGAAUUCACCCCAGGCUAGGACAAAGAGAAUCCUCAGGUGCUCUUGUCCUCCAGAUUUAAGCCUGCUUUGCUGCAGGGGGAGUGAUGUAAACAGACUUACUGCACUGGAGAAUGGGGCCUGUAUUUUUAUGCAUCUAUACACAAGAGAUCAAGGCUGGGAGUUUGGAAAACCAGAAACAAGACAAUCUCCAAUCUACUUCAGGCUUUAUAAAAGACUUCUCCCACAGCAGAUGAAAGCUUAAACUCUACAGAAACUGAAGGGACAACCAGGAAAGUUGUUGGACAGUGCACCACCAAUCACCAGAAUUAAUCUGACCUCUGUUUAUCUUAUAUUUGGGACUUCAAGUUGCUCUCCCUAACAGUCAACAUCAAGCCAUCCUAUCCUCCACUCAUACAAAGGAGGGAUGCUGCUGUUCCGAGAUAUAAUGGCUGGAAUUUAUCAAUAACAUGACCGGGGUAACAAGUUGGUAAGAAGAUGGAUGCAAGUGGAUGUUUGGCACAGCAGGGGAAGGAGGGGAUGUGAGGAAACCAGGGGCUGAGUCCCCUCAUUCUCAGAGUGGAUCUGCAUCAACCAGGGCCUUGGCUAUUGACCUAGAGGAAGCCUAGUGUGGGUGUGUAACACAGUUUCAUGGGGGAAAAAAACACUUUUCUUUUAUUUAAACGGAAGAGUUCAAGGUGCCCAAAGGAAAAUGUAUCGUUAUGGUUACAUCCUUUCCAGCUGACUGACUAUCCAUCCAAAUUAUGUGCCUCUAGAACGCGUACUUUGAAUUUUCUCUGUAAUGAUUGUGGAGCCGUUGCUAAACACUUCGAGCUGCGUGAUCUAUUGAAACGAGUCCACAACCCGGCCUGGUGGUUCUGAGGCCACGGCUCUCCCGUCUACAUAAUUAAACCACUCUCAACGAGUGUGUGUACGUGUGCUGUUCCUUAGAACGUCUCCCAGCCUGAGGCAGGAGCCCUGCCACUCACCGGUAACAGCUCAUUUUGAAGCCUGUUCUCUCCUCCACUGUGAACAGUGGACAGAAACAACAAUGAGUAAAAUCAGGUAGAAAUGGCCUGACAAGUAAAGGGGGAAGGGAUGCAGCUCAGUGACGUGUCUGUUCCACUUCUCCCCAGCUCUGAUUCAGCAAGCUAUUUAAUGUGCUUAACUUCAAUGGCUGAGAUGCUUAGACUCAAGUACUUGACUGACUCCCUGUGAUCCCAAGGAAGUCCCUCCAUGGCAAUCCCAUGCAGCUGGGCUCUGCAAUAGUUUGCUGGAAGUCAAGGGAGCAUGAUGAGACAGAACCAGGGAGUAUGUUGCCCUCCAAAGCUGAACAAUAUCUGCCUGGAAGGUAAUGCUGUUUGCUGUCAAAGAAGGGUCUGAGAGCCGAUGCUACCAUAGCUCCGUAUGGGAGAGGGAGCCUGAGCCCUGUGGAGGGGCCAUCACCCUAUGCAGAGACACCAGGAUUUCUGGGAUUUCAGCUCCUUUCCUCCAUGGAUCCUCGGGUCUCCCAGUUUUGGGAAGCCCAAACCCCAUCCUUCCAUGAGGAAAUAUUAGGCAGAAAUUCUGCAUAGUGAACCUCAUGGAGUUUCCUUGAGUUUUCUUACCUUCCUCUGAGGGUUUUAACACAGCCUGAUAAAAUAUAGGUUUUCAUACAUAUUGGCAAGGAGCAAAUUGGAGCAGUGAAUCUUCCUAUCAAAUGACUGAAAUGUAGAGUAACAAUUUCUGUAACUCUCAUGCGUGUCUUACGGGCUUCAUUCUUCAUGGUGCUAAGCAUACCUGUGAAGUGCUGCGGGAUCCCUCAGCUUCCGCUGACUUCAAUGGGAGUUGGAAGCACUCUGCACCUCACAGUAGUGCUCAGCACUUUCCAGGUUUGGGCCCCAAUAUUUUACUGAUGGGAUGAACUGUAAUUCAACAAUAAGAUGUUUUAAUUAAAUCUACAUAUUCUCUACUGUAUAUUAAUUGUUUUCUAAAACAUGUUUCCACAGUGUUUUUUAGUAUUUUCUACAAAAGAUGCUCUAUAAAUGCUGCCAAAAUCAUCAUAAAAACAAUAUUGAAGGCACACCUAUGAGAUAAAAAUACCCGUUUUGUGUGCAUACAGUUUGAUGUGCAAAUAGUUGUUUGCACACACACAUGGGGUAAUUAUGCAUCUACUUACUAGAUUUUAUGUUCUGUUGGAUGUUAUGGUGCAUACAAAUAGGUACGUCCGUUAACUCUCUGCACAUACAAAACAAAGGGGCUUAGGAAGUUUGUCUCCAGGUACUUUCCACAAAUUGUCCAAAUUAGAUAAUUUGGUCAUUUCAGCUUCUAAUUUUAGAAUCCCUACAUUGGUUCCUGACUUUGGAGAAUAUCUAAGGAGCAUUAAACAGGGGAGCAACUCCAGCAUGCUGUAGUAUAUAACGAUCACAUUGUACUUUCUUUUCACAAAAAAGGAUGGUGGACCAGCAUCUUCAUACACAGCAAAUAACUGCCUAACUAUACGACAACCUUUUUCCACAUCUCCCCAAUGUCAGGGCCUGAAGCCAUGUUUUCCUUAAAGACAAGAGCUUAACUUUUUUUUUCAUAUCUCCUUGUCAGAGGUUUGACAGGUCUUUCCCCAUUCUCAUCUAUUAUCUAUGUCACGUCACUUUUGAUCAGUGGAUGUGAUUGAGAAGUCCUUUAGUGUGUUCGUUCUGCAAAUCAAACCCCUCUGCUUUCCACAUUCUUCACUACCACUUCAUUUGUUUCCCUGUUGAUAAGACUGAUGCUCUUACCAUGUGCAAACAACAUUUAUAGUUUUAUAUAGUUCUUGAUUGUUUUGUCUCUUCGGUGAGUUUCCCAAACCCUCUUUCCUUUAUGUUGCUCUUGUUUUCUGAGCUGCCCUGUCUGUCUUGUUAAGACUU